GAUGAACGCUAGCUAUAGGCUUAACACAUGCAAGUCGAGGGGAAACGGCAUUAUGUGCUUGCACAUUUUGGACGUCGACCGGCGCACGGGUGAGUAUCGCGUAUCCAACCUGCCCUUUACUUGGGGAUACCCCGUUGAAAGACGGCCUAAUACCCGAUGUAAUUCAUUGAUGGCAUCAGAUAUGAAUAAAAGAUUUAUCGGUAAAGGAUGGGGAUGCGUCUGAUUAGCUUGUUGGUGAGGUAAAGGCUCACCAAGGCGACGAUCAGUAGGGGUUCUGAGAGGAAGGUCCCCCACAUUGGAACUGAGACACGGUCCAAACUCCUACGGGAGGCAGCAGUGAGGAAUAUUGGUCAAUGGACGGAAGUCUGAACCAGCCAAGUAGCGUGCAGGAAGACGGCCCUAUGGGUUGUAAACUGCUUUUAUACGAGAAUAAUUUGAUGCACGUGUGCGUUAUUGCAUGUAUCGUAUGAAUAAGGACCGGCUAAUUCCGUGCCAGCAGCCGCGGUAAUACGGAAGGUCCAGGCGUUAUCCGGAUUUAUUGGGUUUAAAGGGAGUGUAGGCGGUUUGUUAAGCGUGUUGUGAAAUUUAGGUGCUCAACAUUUAACUUGCAGCGCGAACUGUCAGACUUGAGUACACGCAACGUAUGCGGAAUUCAUGGUGUAGCGGUGAAAUGCUUAGAUAUCAUGAAGAACUCCGAUUGCGAAGGCAGCAUACGGGAGUGUAACUGACGCUUAAGCUCGAAGGUGCGGGUAUCGAACAGG
rnacentral:rRNA from 1 species